rnacentral:rRNA from 1 species
AGUGAACGCUGGCGGUAUGCCUAACACAUGCAAGUCGAACGGCAGCACAGUAAGAGCUUGCUCUUACGGGUGGCGAGUGGCGGACGGGUGAGGAAUACAUCGGAAUCUACUUUUUCGUGGGGGAUAACGUAGGGAAACUUAUGCUAAUACCGCAUACGACCUACGGGUGAAAGCAGGGGAUCUUCGGACCUUGCGCGAUUGAAUGAGCCGAUGUCGGAUUAGCUAGUUGGCGGGGUAAAGGCCCACCAAGGCGACGAUCCGUAGCUGGUCUGAGAGGAUGAUCAGCCACACUGGAACUGAGACACGGUCCAGACUCCUACGGGAGGCAGCAGUGGGGAAUAUUGGACAAUGGGCGCAAGCCUGAUCCAGCCAUACCGCGUGGGUGAAGAAGGCCUUCGGGUUGUAAAGCCCUUUUGUUGGGAAAGAAAAGCAGCAGGUUAAUACCCCGCUGUUCUGACGGUACCCAAAGAAUAAGCACCGGCUAACUUCGUG